AAAUUACUUUACUUUCCUUUACUCCUUCCCUGAGAAGCCGACAAUCCCAUUGAAAAAAGUUUUAGCCUUCCCACACCUCUGCUUUCCUUUUGUCAUUCUUCUUUAAGAAAACCCACAAUCCCAUUGGGAAACAAAAAAAAAAAAAAAAAAAAUUGCUCUACCUCUGCUUUCCUUUCCUCCAUAAAAGGCAUCUCUCACUUCUCCUCUUACAAACAUAGGAAAGACAAAGGAAGAGGGUUUGAGCUUCUUCCUCUCCCUCUCUUCCUCCCCGCCGGUCAUCCUCCUCCUUGUGCUGCCACCAAUGCCGGCCGGAAUGAGCAUCACCACCAUGCCCAGCCGACGACCCAUCACGCCAGAAAGUCCACGGUGCUUGCCAUCAACAGGACGGCUGGAGACACGCCGAAAAACUGCAUAAAAGCCUGCGGUGAGCUCCAUUUCAAUUUUCAGGAUUUUGACCGUUACCGGCUAAAUUUUCAAUCCUAUUCCCCAAACUCGAGCGUCCUGAAGCUGAUGGUGGGCUCCGUUUGCCUCAAUUAGAGCUCGUUUGUGGUGCACCAAGAGGACUUGCUCAACAGCGCUUCCCGAUAGAAAUUCCGAGCGCCGCCGACGAGAUGCACCCAUACACGUACCGGUGUUCUGUACUGCAUAUGUGAUUAUGAUAAGCGCGCAAGUUGUAAUGUCUCCCGUGAGUUGCCAUCGGACCAAGGGCAGGCAAAUUUGUUAUUAGCUAUAAGCUACCCCCCUCCAUGGCCAGGAUGACGGUUUAAGCAGCGGCGCUGUCGGGACGCCGUAGCGACCGUAUGCAAGUUUCUCUUUUUAACCUCCUAUCAGUCGGUGCUCGGGACGCUGGGUACCUUCGGGCACCACUGGUAUAUAGUAUGGUGCAUCAAGUAUUUUUUAUAUGUUCGUACAUAUAUUUGUAUGUUAUAUUGUUUGAUAUUAUACUACAUAUACCGCACCAUACGAAGGCGGCGAACCAAUGUGGUCCAUGUAGAGGUAGCCCCAUAAUCAUAUUGCCUAUGAGUCCAGGGGAUCGGACAGCCAAUAUAGGCAACCACCCUGGUUUGUAUUGGUAGCAGAGUACCGGCGACAGCUGGAAUCAUGGAUCACGUAGCAUGUUAGAAGAAUGACACCAAGGAAGAAGAACUUACAAUCUCAUUUGAAAAAGGAAAGUAUGAAGCUACAAUCCAAGGAGUGCAGUGAAAGCACAUCACCACCUUCGUCGAAAUGUCAGUAAACUUCUAAAAUACAAUCCCAAUUCAAGAAGUAAAGUACUAAGUUGUAAUCCCAAUUCAAAAAGGAAAGCACUAAGCUUAUUCCUUUAACCAAGCUUCCCGUCGAUAUCCCAAUGUUCUCUCCCCCAUCUAAGUUGGUGAGGCAAAAUUAAAUGAAAUAAACGAAGAUGUAGCUGUCAAAUUUGAUGAAAUAAAACAAGAGAUGGUUGCCUUUAGGACAAUGUUUGGUUCUCUCACAGACAAACUCAAUUAUUAGGCCGAACAAAAUAUUUCGCCACAAUCACCGUCCUCUUCGAUUUGACAAUCAUCCCCGUUGGCACCUUAUGGUUGUGAGAAAAAAAGAACACAUUAUGACAAAGAAAGAAUAAAUGAUGCUCCAGUGGAAGAUGUCUAUGGUACAAAAAUAGAUACUGAUGAAUGUCAAACACCACUCAAUUCAGUCAUACUUGAUAGCUUCAAUGCAAAUGAUUCAUGGGCAUUGAUGCCGUAUAUUAGUGGAUAUUAGGAUCUGCAUAUGGAAAGAGAGAUUAUUGAUUUGGCCAAUAAUUUACAAUGUGAGGCUCUGCAUGUGAAAUAAGAUAGUGAUGUGGUUGAUGGUUUACAAAGUAUGACGAUUUUGACGAAUGAUUUUCUGGAUAAAAGCUGCUUUGGUGGAGUUUAUUAACAGUCACAACAUGUCAUCUCACCAUACACUAAUCUAUGCAAAUAGAUAAAUAAAUAAAUAAAUAAAUAAAGUUGAAUCUCAAACGACCCACUGACUUAGCCAAGGAGAGGAUGUUUGAUGAAUGGUAGAAAGCAGCAAAAAGUGAAUCAAAGGUUAUUAUUGAUUAUGUGCAGUUGGACAAAUAAUUUUUUGACGUUCUACAUACCCAUGCUGGAUGAUUGACUUUCGAUAUAAGUAAUAUAGCUGAUAAUCAUAUAAGUUCAUAUGCACCAUUUUGUCUAUUGUAUUAUCACCAUAUAAUAUUUUUGUAUUGUUUGUAGUAUAUAGACACUAUUUUAUUUUACAUACGGAGAACGUGAUUUGAGCAUCACAAUACAUUCCCAUAAUGAUGUGCCAU